rnacentral:rRNA from 1 species
AGCGAACGCUGGCGGCAGGCCUAACACAUGCAAGUCGAACGAAGUCUUCGGACUUAGUGGCGGACGGGUGAGUAACACGUGGGAACGUACCUUUUGGUUCGGAACAACUCAGGGAAACUUGAGCUAAUACCGGAUGAGCCCUUAGGGGGAAAGAUUUAUCGCCGAAAGAGCGGCCCGCGUUAGAUUAGCUAGUUGGUGAGGUAAAGGCUCACCAAGGCUACGAUCUAUAGCUGGUCUGAGAGGAUGAUCAGCAACACUGGGACUGAGACACGGCCCAGACUCCUACGGGAGGCAGCAGCGGGGAAUCUUGCGCAAUGGGCGAAAGCCUGACGCAGCCAUGCCGCGUGAAUGAUGAAGGUCUUAGGAUUGUAAAAUUCUUUUACCAGGGACGAUAAUGACGGUACCUGGAGAAAAAGCCCCGGCUAACUUCGUGCCAGCCGCCGCGGUAACAC